GACAGAGGGGGCAAGCGUUGCUCGGAAUUACUGGGCGUAAAGGGCGAGUAGGUGGCCAUCUAAGUCAGACGUGAAAUCCCCCGGCUUAACCUGGGAACUGCGUCUGAUACUGGACGGCUAGAGUAUGGGAGAGGAACGUAGAAUUCCAGGUGUAGCGGUGAAAUGCGUAGAUAUCUGGAGGAAUACCGGUGGCGAAGGCGGCAUCCUGGACCGACAUUGACGCUGAUGAGCGAAAGCUAGGGGAGCAAACGGG
rnacentral:rRNA from 1 species